rfam:Homo sapiens chromosome 22, GRCh38 reference primary assembly.
CUUCAGGAUCUCCUCAGAUCCACCCUUUCUUCCGUGAAACUUGCAU